rnacentral:ncRNA from 1 species
UUAUCGGUGCCCGCGGGCGGUUCUCGCCCCGGGUUAAACGGGAAACAGGUGCGCGGCCCAUCGCUGGAACGAUGGCCGCAAUGCCUGUGCUGCCCCCGCAACGGUAAGUGCGCGCAAGGCGGAUCACGCAGCCACUGGGACACCCUCCCGGGAAGGCGAUCCGCUGCGACCGGCCCAUCGGCCGGUACAGCGCCCGAGCCCGGAGACCGGCCGAACGCGAUUUGGCGGA